AAAUGACGGUACCUGACUAAGAAGCCCCGGCUAACUACGUGCCAGCAGCCGCGGUAAUACGUAGGGGGCAAGCGUUAUCCGGAUUUACUGGGUGUAAAGGGAGCGUAGACGGCAUGGCAAGCCAGAUGUGAAAGCCCGGGGCUCAACCCCGGGACUGCAUUUGGAACUGUCAGGCUAGAGUGUCGGAGAGGAAAGCGGAAUUCCUAGUGUAGCGGUGAAAUGCGUAGAUAUUAGGAGGAACACCAGUGGCGAAGGCGGCUUUCUGGACGAUGACUGACGUUGAGGCUCGAAAGCGUGGGGAGCAAACAA
rnacentral:rRNA from 1 species